rnacentral:rRNA from 1 species
UACGGAGGGUGCGAGCGUUAAUCGGAAUUACUGGGCGUAAAGCGUGCGCAGGCGGCUUUGCAAGACAGAUGUGAAAUCCCCGGGCUCAACCUGGGAACUGCAUUUGUGACUGCAAGGCUAGAGUACGGCAGAGGGGGAUGGAAUUCCGCGUGUAGCAGUGAAAUGCGUAGAUAUGCGGAGGAACACCAAUGGCGAAGGCAAUCCCCUGGGCCUGUACUGACGCUCAUGCACGAAAGCGUGGGGAGCAAACAGG